rnacentral:tRNA from 1 species
AGAAACUUAGGCUAAAUACUAAACCAAGGGCCUUCAAAGCCCCAAACAGAGGUGAAAUCCCCCUAGUUUCUG